GAGCCUACGGGGCGCAGCAGUGGGGAAUAUUGGGCAAUGGGCGCAAGCCUUACCCAGCAAUACCGCGUGAGUGAAGAAGGUCUUCGGAUUGUAAAGCUCUUUGAUCAGGGACGAACAGAUGACGGUACCUGAGGAACAAGCCCCGGCUAACUACGUGCCAGCAGCCGCGGUAAAACGUAGGGGGCGAGCGUUAUCCGGAUUUACUGGGUGUAAAGGGCGUGUAGGCGGGACUGCAAGUCAGAUGUGAAAAUUAUGGGCUCAACCCAUAACCUGCAUUUGAAACUGUAGUUCUUGAGUGAUGGAGA
rnacentral:rRNA from 1 species